GCUUCGAGCUAAAUUAGCUUUCAAUUUAGUUUCUUAUGGAAUAUCAUGUGAUGCAAUAUCUUGAGAUAUAAUUCUAGUGAAAUUUGGUUGAGGCAGAACCGCAGAAACAUUGCAGGAAACAUGAAGGAACCAAUUUGAAAUUGAUUAAAUUUGGAUGAGUAACAAUUGUUGGUGCGGUUGAGCACAUAGCAUGUUUAGGCUGCAGUGUUACUCCUCUCUCCAUGAUUUUCUAGCAUGUUCACUUCUUCCAAACUAAUUACCACUGUUGCGCCUCAGCAGGGAUCUGGAAUCAUGUGGAAGGCUUAUAAUUUUCCAGUGAUUUUGCUCUCUGAGACCAGCACAUCUAUCUUGCAACAGGUAUUUGGGAUUCAAAAUAUAUAAUAUCUUACCAUGUUUUUGUUCAGAAAAAAAGUUAUCCCUCCCACAGAAGAAGAAGAGAAAUUGAUAUUGCAGAAGAUCCCACUUCAGAAAAUGAUGGUGGAGAUAAUGGCAAAAUGUGGUUUAAAGAAUAUGAGUAAUGAUGUGGAGCGAUGCUUGUCCUUGUGCGCAGAAGAGAGAAUGCGUGGACUCAUAUCUAAUAUAAUUAGACUUUCAAAACAG